rnacentral:rRNA from 1 species
UACGUAGGUGGCAAGCGUUGUCCGGAAUUAUUGGGCGUAAAGCGCGCGCAGGUGGUUCCUUAAGUCUGAUGUGAAAGCCCACGGCUCAACCGUGGAGGGUCAUUGGAAACUGGGGAACUUGAGUGCAGAAGAGGAAAGUGGAAUUCCACGUGUAGCGGUGAAAUGCGUAGAGAUGUGGAGGAACACCAGUGGCGAAGGCGACUUUCUGGUCUGUAACUGACACUGAGGCGCGAAAGCGUGGGGGCCGGACAGG